AUCAUUAGUAUUUCUUAUAUUAUUAUUAACACGCUCUGAUGCUAAGGAGUUAGAUGUUCUACUCCCCCUCCCCACCUGAAAAGAACUCUGUUCCAACUGCCAUUUGGGCGUGGGCAUGGACAGCAUGUGACUUAUCCAGCCUGUGGGCUGGGAGUUUAGACAUUCUACUCCCCACCUGAAAGGGACAGAAGGGGAUAAGAUAGGAGAGGCCUCUGUGGGGCAAGCCUGAGGGAGAGAAGGGGAUAGGAGAGGCUUCUGUGGAGCAAGCCUGAGGGAGAGAAGGGGAGAGGAGAGGCCAAUCAAACUACUCAUUAAUUUUCAAGAGCAGCCAACAUAGGUAUGUUCCUAGCUGGGUUCAAGGCCAUCCCACAGAGACUAUUUAUAAAAGGUCUGGAGAAUGCAACACUACAUGGAUAAUAUCACUAGUGCCCAAGAUACUCCUCUCUUGAAACUGCAUUUAUGGGUCUUCCAAAAGCUCCUGAUUGGUUUUUAUGAGAAACAAGUUAUUCCACACUAGUUGGAUCUUUGAUACGAUUCAAGCAGCGUUCUUCUCAUCUUCUUAUAAAUUGUACAUAGCAUAAGGAAGGUGGGGGAGAGGGGAAAAAUAAAUGAUAGAAGACUG